GAUGAACGCUGGCGGCGUGCCUAAUACAUGCAAGUCGAGCGAAUGGAUUAAGAGCUUGCUCUUAUGAAGUUAGCGGCGGACGGGUGAGUAACACGUGGGUAACCUGCCCAUAAGACUGGGAUAACUCCGGGAAACCGGGGCUAAUACCGGAUAAUAUUUUGAACUGCAUGGAUCAAAAUUGAAAGGCGGCUUCGGCUGUCACUUAUGGAUGGACCUGCGUCGCAUUAGCUAGUUGGUGAGGUAACGGCUCACCAAGGCAACGAUGCGUAGCCGACCUGAGAGGGUGAUCGGCCACACUGGGACUGAGACACGGCCCAGACUCCUACGGGAGGCAGCAGUAGGGAAUCUUCCGCAAUGGACGAAAGUCUGACGGAGCAACGCCGCGUGAGUGAUGAAGGCUUUCGGGUCGUAAAACUCUGUUGUUAGGGAAGAACAAGUGCUAGUUGAAUAAGCUGGCACCUUGACGGUACCUAACCAGAAAGCCACGGCUAACUACGUGCCAGCAGCCGCGGUAA
rnacentral:rRNA from 1 species